GACGAACGCUGGCGGCGUGCUUAACACAUGCAAGUCGAACGAAGAGCGAUGGAAGCUUGCUUCUAUCAAUCUUAGUGGCGAACGGGUGAGUAACGCGUAAUCAACCUGCCCUUCAGAGGGGGACAACAGUUGGAAACGACUGCUAAUACCGCAUACGAUCCAAUCUCGGCAUCGGGACUGGAUGAAAGGUGGCCUCUAUUUAUAAGCUAUCACUGAAGGAGGGGAUUGCGUCUGAUUAGCUAGUUGGAGGGGUAACGGCCCACCAAGGCGAUGAUCAGUAGCCGGUCUGAGAGGAUGAACGGCCACAUUGGGACUGAGACACGGCCCAGACUCCUACGGGAGGCAGCAGUGGGGAAUCUUCCGCAAUGGACGAAAGUCUGACGGAGCAACGCCGCGUGAGUGAUGACGGCCUUCGGGUUGUAAAGCUCUGUUAAUCGGGACGAAUGGUUCUUGUGCUAAUAGUGCGAGGAUUUGACGGUACCGGAAUAGAAAGCCACGGCUAACUACGUG
rnacentral:rRNA from 1 species